CACUCAGUAGCUUGAGCUGAUUUGGUCUGGUUUUGAAUUUUGUGUUUGGAAAUAAAGCAAGCCCUGAGGAAAGGAAUAGGAAGUGACUUGUAGUUGGGACUUUCCUUUUUCCUUCCCAGGAGGGGCUGCUGGGCCUCACGCCAAUUGUUCCUUCAUGCUGCCAUUAAGAGUACAAAAGGAUUCCUGAUACAAUGUGCCCUUGACUAAGCCUGUAUCUUGUCUGCUGCAUUCUAACACGCUCUGUUACGUUCUGCGUGUGAAAGCCACCAAUGAGGGCUGAAACCAUCUACUGUAAGGAGAGGGAGCCCAGGAACUUUCCUUUCCUUAGGAUGUACAAGGACUGGCGUCACCAGUUAGCCCAAAGGGGAUGAGGAGGAGGAAGCAAGGAAGGUGAACAGAGCAGGAGGACCCACACACUCUGUGCACCAGCCAAGGGUGUGCAUGCUGCACCAUUUAAUGGGAUGUAACAGGAGCUGUGCUUCCCCAUGUUGGGAUCUUCCAGGAGACUCUACCGCCCGCAACAGGUGCCAGUGCUUUAAAAGCAUAAGAGACUCUGUCAUUGGCGCAUUGACCAGUGAUGUGAGUAUCUUGGGAAGCUAAAUAAUGAUACGUUGUUUCUGUUGUUUUUCAUAACAAACUUCUGCUGCAUCCAACCAAGUCCAUGUUUUGCCUUCUCAAUCAUUCCAUAAUUGAGCAACCUCCAAAGACAACCCCUCUAUUUUGGCUCGCAGUUUGAACAGUGGUGUCUUUGCUGAAACUCAUUAUGUAGGUGGGGGGUAUCUUUAAAGGGAUGUUUGUUCAUUUACCUGAACUUUGUAUGAGAUGGGAGCAAGAUGUGGUAUUUUAAAAAAUCCCAAACCAACAA